GAGGGUAUGGCUCAGUGGUAGAGUGCAUGCUCAGCAUGCACAAGGUCAUGGGUUCAAUCCCCAGUACCUCUG
rnacentral:tRNA from 1 species